rnacentral:rRNA from 1 species
UAGGGAAUCUUCGGCAAUGGGGGCAACCCUGACCGAGCAACGCCGCGUGAGUGAAGAAGGUUUUCGGAUCGUAAAGCUCUGUUGUAUGAGAAGAACGUGUGUGAGAGUGGAAAGUUCACACAGUGACGGUAACUUACCAGAAAGGGACGGCUAACUACGUGCCAGCAGCCGCGGUAAUACGUAGGUCCCGAGCGUUGUCCGGAUUUAUUGGGCGUAAAGCGAGCGCAGGCGGUUUAAUAAGUCUGAAGUUAAAGGCAGUGGCUUAACCAGUGUUCGCUUUGGAAACUGUUAAACUUGAGUGCAGAAGGGGAGAGUGGAAUUCCAUGUGUAGCGGUGAAAUGCGUAGAUAUAUGGAGGAACACCGGUGGCGAAAGCGGCUCUCUGGUAUGUAACUGACGCUGAGGCUCGAAAGCGUGGGGAGCAAACAGG